rnacentral:rRNA from 1 species
AUUGAACGCUGGCGGCAUGCCUUACACAUGCAAGUCGAACGGUAACAGGUCUUCGGAUGCUGACGAGUGGCGAACGGGUGAGUAACACAUCGGAACGUGCCUAGUAGUGGGGGAUAACUACUCGAAAGAGUGGCUAAUACAGCAUGAGAUCUACGGAUGAAAGCAGGGGAUCGCAAGACCUUGUGCUACUAGAGCGGCCGAUGGCAGAGUAGGUAGUUGGUGGGAUAAAAGCUUACCAAGCCGACGAUCUGUAGCUGGUCUGAGAGGACGAUCAGCCACACUGGGACUGGGACACGGCCCAGACUCCUACGGGAGGCAGCAGUGGGGAAUUUUGGACAAUGGGCGCAAGCCUGAUCCAGCAAUGCCGCGUGCAGGAUGAAGGCCUUCGGGUUGUAAACUGCUUUUGUACGGAACGAAAAGCCCUGGGUUAAUACCCUGGGGUCAUGACGGUACCGUAAGAAUAAGCACCGGCUAACUACGUGCCAGCCGCCGCCGUAACAC